AACGACGAAAGAACCUUACCAAGGCUUGACUACACGAGAACGCUGCAAAAAUGUAGAACUCUUUGGACACUCGUGAACAGGUGGUGCAUGGUUGUCGUCAGCUCCUGUCGUGAGAUGUUGGGUUAAGUCCCGCAACGAGCGCAACCCUCGUUCUAUGUUGCCAGCACGUAAUGGUGGGAACUCAUGGGAUACUGCCGGGGUCAACUCGGAGGAAGGGGGGGAUGACGUCAAAUCAUCAUGCCCCUUAUGUCUUGGGCUUCACGCAUGCUACAAUGGCCGGUACAAAGGGCUGCAAUACCGUAAGGUGGAGCGAAUCCCAAAAAGCCGGUCCCAGUUCGGAUUGAGGUCUGCAACUCGACCUCAUGAAGUCGGAAUCGCUAGUAAUCGCAGAUCAGCAACGCUGCGGUGAUACGUUUCCCCGGG
rnacentral:rRNA from 2 species